rnacentral:rRNA from 1 species
AUCCAGACUCCUACGGGAGGCAGCAGUGGGGAAUAUUGCACAAUGGGGGAAACCCUGAUGCAGCGACGCCGCGUGAGCGAUGAGGUAUUUCGGUAUGUAAAGCUCUAUCAGCAGGGAAGAAGAUGACGGUACCUGACUAAGAAGCCCCGGCUAACUACGUGCCAGCAGCCGCGGUAAUACGUAGGGGGCAAGCGUUAUCCGGAUUUACUGGGUGUAAAGGGAGCGUAGACGGCGAUGCAAGCCAGAUGUGAAAGCCCGGGGCUCAACCCCGGGACUGCAUUUGGAACUGUGUGGCUGGAGUGUCGGAGAGGCAGGCGGAAUUCCUAGUGUAGCGGUGAAAUGCGUAGAUAUUAGGAGGAACACCAGUGGCGAAGGCGGCCUGCUGGACGAUGACUGACGUUGAGGCUCGAAAGCGUGGGGAGCAAACAGGAUUAGAUACCCGAGUA